CCUGUCUGUGGGUUGAGGCUGAUACAUACACGCCAACGCAGAAUCAUAGGAGGAGAGAACUCACUGAGGGGAGGCUGGCCAUGGCAGGCUGCGGUGCGUCUCAGAGGCUCUCGGGGGGACGGAAGGUUGGUGUGUGGAGCGACUCUCAUCAGCUCCUGUUGGGUACUCACCUCAGCUCACUGCUUUAAGAGGCAUGGUAACAUUACUAAACAGUACAAGGUGAGGGUUGGAGAUUACCAUUCUCUGGUUCCCGAGGAGUUUGAGGAGGAGUACGCCGUCGAUCAGAUCGUCCUGCACCCUAGCUACCGUUCCCACAGCAACGACUACGACCUGGCCUUGGUGCGUCUGUCGCCGGGAGUGGCGGGGAAGGGCCGCGGUCGAUGUGUGGCGUUCAGUCGGCACGUCCUGCCCGCCUGUCUGCCGCUACGCAAGGAGAGAGUCCUGAAACAGGCUUCCAACUGUCACAUCACAGGCUGGGGGGAC